rnacentral:rRNA from 1 species
AGACGGAGGGCGCAAGCGUUGUUCGGAAUUACUGGGCGUAAAGGGCAGGUAGGUGGUCUGUUAAGUCUUCUGUGAAAAUCCGGGGCUCAACCCCGCGAAAUGCAGGUGAAACUGGCAGACUGGAGACCGGUAGAGGCUAGCGGAAUUCCUGGUGUAGCGGUGGAAUGCGUAGAUAUCAGGAAGAACACCUGUGGCGAAGGCGGCUAGCUGGGCCGGUUCUGACACUAAACUGCGAAAGCGUGGGGAGCAAACAGGAUUAGAAACCCCUGUAGUCC